CCCGCCUCCAACACUGGGGGUCACAUUUCAAUGAAAUUUGGAGGGACUGACAUCCAAACUAUAUCAGUUGUAAUUGAUUACAUUAAUGAAUUUUCACUAUUUUACUGGUGGCUCUUAGGAUAAAACUUCAAGGAUUUUAAUGUUAACCUAUGACACAUGUUAGCUUGCGACAGAACCAAGCCUUUAGUAUCACCCAAACUACCAGGCAACAUGUGACUUUUUUUUACAUGGCAGAAUAUACUUCAUUGUAUGCCAAGACCAACUCUGUCUGGGAGACCUUAACCGAGUGGCACUAGAGGAAUUAAAGACACACACACAGAAAUAUAGAGGUGUGAACUGGGAAAUCAGGGGUCUCAAAGCCUUCAGAGCUGAGAGCACUGAACAGAGAUUUACCAAGAGAAUAUUACAGAGAGAGUUCUGCUGCCUCAUGGAGGAGCCACAGGAACUGUGCACAAUCUUUCUUACCACAGAGUCACAAGGAGAAAAUUGGCAGCUUAGGAGACCAACCAGCUAAAUGAGAUAUGUCAGCCGACAAACAGCUUAAAUACUCUUGGAUCAUUUUUCCUCUACUUUAUCGAGUAGUUUUAGUUUGAGGGAAGUGAACGAUCUUCUGGGUGGCUUCCUUACUCAAGAUUUCUCUGUCUCUGUCUUCUUAGGCGUUUGUUUCUUUAUGCCUGGAUCUGCCACUUCACCUUUUGCCUUUUUUUCCAUAUCUACCUCUGACUCUAUCUUCGUCUUUUUGUCUCUCCCUUUAUUUUCUUUAUUUCUGGUUUCUCUUUUUCAUUUUCUCUUAUAUUGUCAGUCACCUUAAUUUCUAUAAACACAUAAUUAUCACUAACAAUUAAAGAGCUUUAUAAAUGAUGAUGAAAAUUUGAAACAAAUUUCUUAAAGAAUCUUUGAAUCAUUUUGUGUGUGUGUGUGUGUGUGUGUGAGAGAGAGAGAGAGAGAGAGGAGAGAGAGAGAGAGAAAGAGAAAAGUAUUUAUUGUUGACCUGUGAUUUCCUCAAUCCCAACCCUAAAUGUGAGUUGUAGAACUUGGAUUUGAACCUGCAGCC
rnacentral:lncRNA from 1 species